AGCAGCCUCCUGAGGGGGUUUGUCCUCCUUCCCGCAGGACUCGGGGUCUCCCGGCACCCCAGUCUCCCACCAGGGAAGUCCCUGCUGAGUUGUGUUCCUGCUGCAUGAGAUCCCCUCUGCUCGUGGCUUCUGCUGUUUCACCAGGGCAAAUCCUCCCCUCCUCCAGCUGGUUGUGUUGGCAGGGAAAUCCCUGAUGGCUCCAAGCUCUGCUCUCCAGAAAGUGGCUGGAGGGAACAUCUGACAUGGUCCUCCAUCUGUGGGAACGUGACAGGAGAACCUCCUUCCUCUCUGCUUCCCGGGGUUAUCCAUCCCUGAGAUUGGAGGUGUCACCCAGCUGGGUCAGAGCUGUCCCCUGAGCUGGGUUUUUGCUGCUGUUGGGAUCAGUGACCUGUGGAAUUGCAGCUGGAGGAAUUCGAGCAGGAACCUCCAAACACCUGAGGUGGUUUCAUGUGUGGUGCCCUGAUGGGAACUGAGCUCAGCAUUGCUUUUCCCUUCAAAAAACCAAAACCUCGAUAGCCUUGAAUUCCUGCCUGGGGAACCUCUCACAGAAAUGUGCAUGUGAGCUGGGAUCAAGCAAGAUGAAGGGGGUUCCGUGGUCACUUUUGGAGUUAACCAAUGAGGUUGGAGCUUUUUAGCCUGAAAUCAGACAAGCUGAGAUGAGAUUUCCAGAAGGCUUUUGAUAGCAGCUUAAUGGUCGUAAACUUUGGUUUAUUAAAUGUAAAAGAAUUUUUUUAA